rnacentral:lncRNA from 1 species
CGAUAGCUUGCAUCACCCUCCGGCCGCGGGGAUUAUCUCCAUCUGGUAGGGUUUCUUCCAAAUGUAUUUUGAUUUCGUUUCAAAAUGAUGCCGUAUUUUGUUCAAUACAAUUCCUUAUUGUCAUUUCUUCGUCAUUAAUCAAUUCUGUGCUUACUUUGGUCCAAAAAGAUCGAUUAAAUACUACAAUAAAAAUAUUAAUAAUUGAAAUUCAUUUUAUUUCCAAUCGAUAAUUGAAAAUUAUCAUUUCCCUCCGGGGAAAACCUACCUCAUUUGCCCCAAUUUUCCCAUUCCAUUCCCUUCUUUGGCAGCAUGUAUUACAUCCGUUGUCUUGCCCAUCCUUUCCGACGUCAGACGGCCGGCCGCACUAUUAGAUUUCACAGUAAGCUACUAGAGUUGUGAAGGGCAUUUCUGUUGCCAGCCAUUUAAAUUCGAACGAGGAAGCCACAAGCUUUGCUAAAAUUUGAAAGCUAUUGAAGGCAUCUCUCUGCAAAUGGUAAACUACUGGAGUCGUGAAGGGCAUUUCUGUUGCCAGCCAUAAAAAUUAGAACGAGGAAGCCACAAGUUUUGCUAAAAUUUGCCUGUUAUUAAAGGUAUCUCUCUGCAAAGUCUCGGUUUGUUCAAAGGCUUCGACCCGAAUAUCAGCUGUAUCAACUAAAUUCACUCAUGCACAUGUUAUCACAUGUUAUUAGAUGUUUCAUUAGGCAAAUCCUGAAUAUUGAGAAUAAAAUAGAUGAAAUUGAACGUCACUGUGAAUUUUUAUUUUUCUCCUUUAAAUCAGUAUGGUGAUCAGAACUAAGAUAUGCCCUUUUGUUCAAUGCCUAACCUCGUAGCAGCGGUUCAAAUUCUGUUGCCAGUCAUAAAAAUUAUCAAACAACAUUUUAGUUGCUGUUUCAUGCUGCAGUUCGGAACAUUCUAGUUUUGUUUUAGUUGGAUAUUCAAUAGACAUGUUACAUGCUUUGAUAUCUAAGUUUCAAAUGGUUAUUGUGAACUAGCAAAAUAAAAGGUGGGUAAUGGAAGAGCAUAACAGUACAAGAAGCAAAAUUUGGUGUUGCUCGGUUGAACUUGAUGUGAUAGGGAAAGUAGGAUAAAUUGUACUCACAUUUGAAAUGUAAUAUUUACUACAUUAGGUGAUUCUUUGUUUUGUAAGUAUAUAUGAAUUGUUAAACUAAAAUUACAUUUUAUUGUGGAAUUGGUGUAUGUGAUGACUAACAUUAAGCUUAUUUUCUUGCAACGUAGGAAAUUAGAGAAAAUGUGACUGAAGAACUUGUUUCGGAGUUCGAUACUGACAAUGUUGCAGAGAAUGUGAUCAGGGUUGAAGAAGAAACAUUAGGACACAAUGGGCCGAUUGUACUUGAGGUGAGCAUGAUUUCAACAAUGAUAAGGAAUUGUUCGAUUUCUACAAGAGAUAUACUUGUAAUGUUGGUUUUCCAGUUCGAAAAAGGGGGACGAUGCACUGUUGAAAUAUGUGAUUUUGACAUGUAGUCGUGAAGGUAGAAAAACAAGUAAUGCAAACGGCUCUUUAAAUCAACAACCAAUCAAUCAGACAGAUUGUAAAGCAAUGAUCUUUGCUUCUUCAGAUAAUAAUGGAAUGUGGAGAAUUAACAUAGUCCAUCUUGACCAUAACCAUCGAACUAGCCCUUACAAGUCUAGGUUGUAUCAAUGCAAUAGAGAGUUGAGGGCAACUGUGAAAUGAAAACUUGAAGUGAAAGAUUUGGCAGGAAUUUCGUUGCACAAAAGUUUCAAUUCUGCAGUUGUUGAAGUAGGGAGAUAUGAAAAUAUGACAUGUGUGGAAAAGGAUCGUCGCAAUUAUAUUGAACAAGUAAGGCGAUUGUGACUUGGAGAAGGAGAUGUGACCGUAAUACAAUGUUAUUUUUCGAAAAUGCAAGCAUGAUGCUCGAGUUUUUACUUUAGUAUGGAUUUAGAUGACGAGUCUUGCCUGAAGAACGUGUUUUGGUCUGAUAAUAAGUGUAGGUAGGCAUACAUGGAGUUUGAUGAUAUUGUUACAUUCAAUACCACUUAUCUCACUAACAAAUAUAACAUGCCAUUCGUACCUUUUGUUGGCGUGAAUGCUCACGGUCAAUCAACUAGUUGGUUGUGAAUUGUUAUCGAAUGAGGACACAGAUACCUUUGUGUAGCUGUUAAGACAUGGCUUCAGUGCACGCACGGUAGAGCUCCUCAUGGAAUAAUUACUGAUCAAGAUACAAAGAAUAGGUAGUGUUUGUGGCACAGUUUGAAAAAAUUGUUGGAGAAGUUCGAAUGCCAUGUUCAUAAGGCAUGCAUAUUUGAGGCUAUACAUAGUUUGGUGUAUGAUUUGCAGAAUAUUGAAGAGUUUGAAGCAUGUUGCAAAGAGAUGAUCGAAACAUAUGACUUGAUGGAUAAUGAAUACAUGUCUAUUGAAGAAUUUGAAGCAUAUUUAAGACUAUACUAUGUUGCAUGCAUCUGAUGUCUAUUAUGCCUUUCAUUUAAGAGCACAACUUUUUGCCAUUUUGUGUGUCAGUAACCAUUCUGGGGAUAAUCUGCUCUUUCAUAUUAGCAUGGAUGGAUUACUUUUUGGAAUAAUGUAGCAUGUUAUCGUUGUUGCAUUAAACGAUUGUCUUUGCCAGGUGGGUGCCUUCAGGAAAUUAUGCUAUCUACAAGAAGCUUUCCUGUUAGCUAUUUGUGGCAUGUUUGUUUAAAGAGUGGGUUACUAGGUAGAUCAAUUCUUAUUUAAAAGAGUGGUGUGGUCAGGAUGUCCACUGUGGUGGGGGAGGGGAGAUAGUCUGGAUUUUUUCCCCCGUCAUUCUAAUGAUCUUAGCAAAGCAUCUUAUUAUAUAUUAAUGUUGUAAUAAAGAAAGUUAACAAAAGUUAGAAGAGAAGACGAAGUGAAUACAUGUUCAAUCAUGCAAGUGCGUAGAGUGUGUGUACAUACAGGAUUGAGAAAGACAAAUCUAUAAUGGGGGUUUGAAGUUCAUAGUGAUAGGCUUAUGUGAGUUCAAGGGACAAAGUGAGAAUUCUGCUGGACAUUUUGAAAUUGAAAAUUUUUUAUACUUUGAUAGACAUUUUUGUUUCAUCCUUGGAGCAAUAAACUUAGGAUUCUCAAGUUAAAGUAACCAAAAGUUGCUGAAAUGAAGCAAUCUGAUGCCAACUUUUAACUGAUGUGUAGAUGUAGCAUCUAAGUUUUUUAGUUUUACUUAUAUUAGCACUUCCUUCCCACUAUUUUUGUAGUCUAUUACAGAGUCUCUGCAAAUUACAAGUGAAGUGGUUAAUAUCUUUCAUGAAACACAUUUCUUUGACAUUUUGUUUUAAAAUUUGUAUUUAGAAGACGGUCAUUCUUUGUGCUGCAGAAAGAAAUUCAGAUUAGGCCAUGCUUGUGGAAUGGAAACCAGCAACCUUGUUACUUGUCUGUCUCCAUUCUCUUUGUUGUAAAGUGCCUCUCGUGAUAUAGCAUUGAGUACGCUCUCUAAGAUGGCUUUUUUUGAGUGCAAGGGCAACUGAUAGAGCUACGAAUGUAAUUUCAAAUCGAGUGGGAGAGGAAGUGGAGAGAUAN